CGGGGCGUAGCGCAGCCUGGUAGCGCAUCAGACUGGGGGUCUGAGGGUCGCAGGUUCGAAUCCUGUCGCUCCGACCA
rnacentral:tRNA from 2 species